ACACACAAAUAUGAAGCUAGUUCAUGUUACUAACACAUGGUUACGACAGUUACUAUCCAUAUUGAUGCCAAUAAUCACCUCCAAAUCAAAGAUAAAGACGUACGUAAGCAAUUCUUUCAUAUUAAAAGCACAUGAAAAGAUUUGUAAUGAGAGUACUAUAUUGUUUGAAUGAUUUAAGUGGAAAAGGAUAGUAGCCAAUAAAUUGUUGCUCUUUAAACUGCACAAACGAAUCGGCAAAGAAAUUGCUAUUCAACGUCCACCACUGUUUCGGCCCAUAUAAGGAAUAUGACGUAAAGUAUAUACUAUAUAGUAUAAACAUCUCCAUGAUGAAUAUUUGCCAGAUCAGGUGUUGAUGGGAAGAGAGCUUUUGAAAUUUCCAAAGAUGUACAAUCAACGGGAGUUCCUGCAAAAAAAAAUAUGGCAAGAUAAGUAAAGCAGAAAACAGAUGCAAACAGCAUGGUAGAAAAUGGAUAGCAGAUUAGAAAAGAAUGUGGCAAAGGACAUUUGUAUCUAGCAUUAGCAUUAUCUAAUUUGGAAGCAGUAUCAUCCCUCCACCUAAAGUGAUAGGGAUAAGCUUGAUAAAAAUGUGACAAUAUUCUAAUACAUGAUGAUGAGUGAAGUAUAGAAGCACAGUAAGUAAAAUUUGCUAUCUUAACAAGUCAGUCAUGCCAUUAUUAGUUACUAUUGAGCCAUAAAGCUGGAAGGCAACAUAUGGAACUAUCAUGCACUAUAAUGGCAACCAAAUAAGGCGAAGAAUGCUUUACAUCUAAAAGAAAUAAAAGGAAUAGAAGACCUAUAAAAAGGUCUUGCAAAAGAAAUACUUUCACAUCUUUUCUAAGCAUUGCUCUACCAAAAGAACAGAUUAUUUGGAGUUUCUCUACAUCAUGAUGGAUUAGAUAAAAUCAUACGAGGCGUUUUCUUUAUUUUUUGAAGAUUUCCUAUCAUCAAUAAUAUACAAGAGAUGCCUGAACUUUCUGGCUUCACCCUUAACUGAAUAAUCAACCACACAUUCUCAACAUUAAGAGCAAAUAAGUGUAAGAGAUAAUGAAUCCAUACAAGUAACAUAUUAAAUAUAUGAAUUGAAAGAAACAAGACGCAUUACAGUUAACAAAUAUAGCAUGGACAUUAAGACUUGGAACUGAAGCUCAAUUUAUACACUUAUACACGAGCAUAUGCUUCAUCAUUUAAAUAGUCAUCUUUUAUUCUAAUUCAUUCGCUGAUUCCUUGUGUCUAGUCACAUGAACUUUUGCAAUUUUAUUUUCCUUGGCAUAAAUAACUCACAGUUUACAAAAUGAUGAAACUGAUCUUAUACUUGUACACUACACGCAGAAUGUUUUGAUGUGCAAUUUCAUCUUCUUCUUUUUUUUUUUUUGGGUGAAAUAAUUUCCCGAUGAAGUCUUUCCAAUUGCAUCCUGUAAGAACGUUUAGGAAUCCAAAUUGAAGGAUGUUAAGUUUAAUGGGUCUUAGACAUUACUUGUCCAAUUAUUGCAUAAAACAUGCACUAUACUUUUUUGGAUUUCCACAAAGGACGAACGCAAAACGAAGGAAGUAAAAAGAUUAUAAUAACUCAUCAAAUUUCAGCAAACAAUUUUUGUCAAGCUAAGUACUCAUCCAAAAAAUUUUCAAGCCAAUAUAAUUUUGUAAUAAACUAAAACCAUUUCUCAUCAUUCAAACUCUACCUUUGCCCCCAGCUUCCAACACCGGUUUCGUAACUUAAAAAUUACACUAAUUGCUACAAAACUACAACUAAGAAAACAUACACCAUACAUUUCUAAAUCCCAAAGAAGGAAAGCUAAUUAGUUAGCUAGAAAUAUUGUAGUCAUUUAUACUUAACAAUCCAAAAGCACUGCACGUAACUUUCAAAAUUACAACUUUGAUCUUCGAAAAGUCAUAAUACAUAUCUUCUCAUUACAUAAACCUAAUAUUAAUCAUCAAAAUGAACUCAUUAAAAGUCAAUAAAAGUCUAAAAUUCUCAAUCCAACAAGAUCAAACCAAAAACACAGAGAACAUAACAAAUCCAGACAUUGCAGACACAUCAUUAACAGCACCACCAGAUCAGUUACUUGUUGGACACUCACUUGCCUUUACAGUUUACAUGCCUCUGCCCAUAUU
rnacentral:lncRNA from 1 species